AGGGCCCGGCUCCAUCGCAGGAGCAGCCGCCGUCACCACCACCGGUGUCGCCGCCUUCAUGCCUAGCCUGCGGGCGUUGUCCCUGCUGAAGAUCUGGGAGCUUAAGGCGGCUCCAACCAAUCACGGAUGGGCUUUGAGGGCGUGGACCCUCCCACUUCCGUCUUGCGCGGGGUCUCCCAGAGGAGGUGUGGUCCGCGAUCUCCGUUAGCUCCAAGGCGGAAGGAUCUGUCGUCCCACUGCAGUGUCGGGUUUCCGUUGUCAAAUAGGAAGUGAAGCCACGGGCCGCCAUCCUUAAGCAAUUCCCGCUAUCUCAGACUCCUGAACCACAGACGGGAUGGUUUAUAAAGAAUAGAGGUUCCAGAGGCAGGGAUAUUCAAGAACUGUGUGCCAGCCUUCCUGCUGCAUCUUGAUGCGAUAGAGAGAGUCACAUGCCCAGACAGACAAGCCUGCCUGCUCAGAUCUCACUUCUUCCUGUAAAGCCACUGGUGGUGUUUAUGGAAAGUCCAUGCUGGAAUAGAGCUAACAAGGACUGGGCUCUGCCCUCAUCGCCUCAUUUGAAGAACCUCCUUCUACAAGCCUCAUUUCAAUUAGCAACUCCAAUUUAAGGAUUGAGUUUCCAAGGCAUGGACUUUUGGGUGUCUGCUGAAACCCUGGCAAAGAAGGACGGCAUGCCUACCUCCCUUCUAGCCUCCCCUCCUCUUUCUCUCUCCUCCUUUCUGUUUAAAGCAGAGAUCAAGGAAUAAAAGCAAGGAUUGUUCUAUGGCAUGAAAAGGCAA
rnacentral:lncRNA from 1 species